rnacentral:SRP_RNA from 1 species
ACUGGAAAGAGUAGCACCUUUCUGUAAGCUAAGCGGCAGUCUAUGGAGGGCUGAAUCAGUUCGCUGGUGGAGUAACGGUUGCAUGGUUGUCUCGUCGAAAACAGUGUCUUGCAGAGUCUGGUGUCAACAUUCGGGUUUGGGCGUAAGCUUGGAUUCGGAGGUUGUUCAAUACUGGGGCAACGCCCGAGGGUAGCAAUACAGCAGGGAAAACUCAGAGCACUGGUACGGCUGUAAGAUGGCACGUUGGAGAGAAUUUAUCAUGUAAGCGCCACUGCGGGCUGGGACUACCCCUUUU